rnacentral:tRNA from 1 species
UAAAAGGUAAGCUAAUUAAGCUAAUGGGCUCAUACCCCGUAAAUGAAAGCAAUCUUUCCCUUUUAA